GGAACUAACUCCCCAGACUUCCUUUCGGCCGCGCUCUCCCUUUCUCUCUCUCUUUUUUUCUUCUUGAGUAAACUGCCUUGUCUUGGUUGAACAAUCCAGGAUUUUGGCAAGAUUGUUCGCGUCUUGAUAUGGCGAAGUCAAAAAAUCACACUAACCACAAUCAAGGCCACAAGUGGCACAGAAAUGGAAUUAAAAAGCCCAAGAAGCAGCGAUUUCCAUCUUUGAAAGGGGUCGACCCAAAACUCCUGAGAAACAUGCGUUUUGCUAAGAAACAUAACAAGCGCCAUGGUGGAAAGGCCGUGAAUAUGGAAUCCUAAGC